rnacentral:rRNA from 1 species
GUCCCACAGUUUGAUCCUGGCUCAGAACGAACGCUGGCGGCAGGCUUAACACAUGCAAGUCGAGCGCCCCGCAAGGGGAGCGGCAGACGGGUGAGUAACGCGUGGGAACAUACCUUUUGGUUCGAACAACACAGGGAAACUUGUGCUAAUACCGGAUAAGCCCUUACGGGGAAAGAUUUAUCGCCGAAAGAUUGGCCCGCGUCUGAUUAGCUAGUUGGUGAGGUAAUGGCUCACCAAGGCGACGAUCAGUAGCUGGUCUGAGAGGAUGAUCAGCCACAUUGGGACUGAGACACGGCCCAAACUCC